CUAAGCACCUAGAGGCCCCAGUGAAUCUGUUUGGCCAGCACAUGGCUUGUAUCCAUUUACAGAGUAACCGCUCACUUAGGAAGCAUCCAGCCGGCGCUCCCUGCUGUGGGUCAGGCCUGGGCUGGGUGCUGGGGUGCAGAAAGAAGAAAGGCAGGUGGUGCCCACCCCAGGACCUUGGCUUCUCUCCAUGCCCCAUCGGGGGGGUCUCCUGAACCUGAGCAUUUCCCCAACACGAGUGCAUUUUGAGUUCUUUUACAAAUAAUGUUUCCAAGGACUGAAACCAAAAGGCCCCAGUAGAGAGAAGGGGUUUAUAUUACCAUUCUCCCAGCCCUGCUGCCUAACCUAGAAGCAUCAGAGGCAGAUUGCUUCUUGGAGGUUAUCCAGUGCAGGGUUUCUUUAGGUCAAAAGAGAGUGUGGUGACAGUGUCGUGAUGUGUACGAAUUCAAGAGUCGUAACUCAGGCUCUACCUGCAAACCCAGGGUACAGUCUGCUGCCGAGAGGCUAUCAGAGUGGUAAGUAGCCAUUCAUACCGCCUGUCAUCAGAGAAGGAGGAGUGGGCAGGGGAAGGCCAGGUCGUGUGGCCUCCGGAGAUGGCAGCAGAUGAUAGAGAUCGGGCAGAGAAAGAAGCACCUGCCUUGCCGCCUUCCCUCCUCUGCCUGUCCAAAGGUGAAUGAUAAGAGUCGGGCAGUGUGCAUGUCUUCCCAGAAGAAAAACUGAGGCUCAGAUGUGACUCAGUGUCCCUGCCCCAGAUUGAUAUGGCCAGAGAGUACGUGGACACCUGCGUGCCUCAGUUUCCUCACGGAAGAAGCAGAGAUGCGUUCACAGGAAACCACGUAAGAAGCUUCUAGAUACCAGCCUCACCCUUGAGGACAAAAUUGACUUUCCUCAGGACCGAAAAGUCCCGGGGAUUUUGGUUUCUUUAUGGCUGGGAGUCAGGAAAGACCCUUCCUGCCCAGUGGCGAGGACACGUGGCCUCUCCUUCUCUGCUUUCCUGGGGCAGGAAAUGGCAGGCGGCACCUCGCUUCACUCCAUGUCCAGCCCAACAGCCCUUCGUAUGUUGGAAAACUUGUAGAAUCCGUCCGGGGAAGAAAAGGUGCUGUGGUUCCAAUUGCAACGACAUCCUCUCUUCACGGCUGCCCGGGCCCUGUGGCACCGGGUGAGCUGCUGGAGUGGAUGGUGGGGGUGGCUGUAUUUUGGGAGGCUCCCAUGCCCGUUGUGUGACCAUGGGGUGGGGCACACAGUGGCCCCUCGGGGGCAUGUGGUUUGGCGGACCCCAAGUUCACAGCAGUGAGACCCACUGAGUCAGUGGUGGUAGUGAGGUUCCAGGAGCCUGGCUUUUCAAUGCAAGAAGACACGUUGCUGAGGGUCACCUGAAGCUGGAAUUGGACCAACCCAGGAAGAAUAAAUGAGACGCUCGCAGAACCAGAAGGACCUUAGUGACCCCCAUUCCCCUCCUUUGAGUUUAUAGAGAAAGAGACAGGGAGGCCCAGGGAGGGGACAGGAUGUACCCACAAAACAAAGCACUAGAAAGGGUUGGAAUUUGACGUGAACUCUUGAACCUAUUAUCAUCUCAUCUCCAGUCCUGGACUUGUUAUUGCAAAUACAUCACGUAAAUGGAGAAACUUAAUGUUUUCAAGAAUGUAUGGCUCAAAUAACAUACACUGUUAACUAUUUUAAGGCCUAAAAAACAAAAGAAAAACAGGUCAGGCAACCUCGUCACUUCUUCGUUCUUGGUUUUCACAUCUCAACAGGGUUCUUACCAGUCGGGGUAGUCUGGAGUCAGAAAGGCCCCAGGGUCUCCCCAGAUUUUAGGAUUCUGAGGCCUAACUCACAGGUCUCUGGUUUGGAGUGCAUUCGUAUGGAUGGGGGUCUCCUUCAAGUCACUUAAUGCUUUCAGAAAAUGUGAAAAAAAUUAGUGGGGCAUGGUGGGGUACACCUGUGGUCCCAGCUACUCUUGAGGUUGAGG